rnacentral:tRNA from 1 species
GUGGCCUUAGCUCAGCUGGGAGAGCGUCAGACUGAAGUUGCACUUCGAGUCCUGGAUUCUUACGAAUCAUCUGAAGGUCGUGUGUUCGAGCCACACAGGCCACA